UAGGUUAGAUGGAAGCUUUAUUUUUGUCUAUAAAAUUAUUUUAUGGGGGUGAUCUUAAUUUUCCAAUAAUUAGGUUUUUAAAAACUUUGAUAAAGAGGGUAGAGGAUAAAGUUUGUGCCAGCAAUCGCGGUCAUACUCUUUUCUUAGAAUUUUGUUGUCCUUAAAAUUUUUUAUUUUAAAAAAAUUUUUGUGGUGAAAUUUAAAAAUUGUUUUUUAGGGUUUAAAGGGUGUAACUUUUAGGGAAAACUAGGAUUAGAUACCAUAGUAUCUGAGGGAUAUUUUUAAGUAGUAAAUUAUCAUAAUAAAACUUAAUCUUUCUGGCGGUUUAUUACCCUACUACAGGAAUUUGUUGGUUUUAAUAGAUAACCCGCUUUUAUUUUUACCAUUUUAAAUUUUAUGUACGGUUGUGGGGCUUUAAUUUAAUUAUUUUUGCUUUUAGAUUUAUUCCUUAAUUCAGAUCAACGUGUAGAGUAUAAAAUGGUUUCCAAUGAGUUACUAAAAUAGGGGGUUUAUUUUAAUUCAAAUCUUAAUUUGGAUGUAGUAGUAAAAUAAGGAAUAAAAUUUUUAUUUGAAAAGGACCUAAUAAAAGUACAUAUCGCCCGUCACUCUUUUGAUAGAUAAGUCGUAACAAAGUAGAGGUAUCGGAAGGUGCCUCUUG
rnacentral:ncRNA from 1 species